UGGGGUCUCCCGCGCUGGGCCCGGGCGCUCUCGGGAACGCGGCGGAAAACCUGGUACCGCCCCGCGGGCGGGUCUUCCCGCGGGAGGAUCCCAGAGAGGAGUCGGGUGACGCGCCGCGAAAACAGGCCGCGAAGAGCUCCGUCCCGCGCAGGAGAAGAGGAUCAAGGUCGUUGUCCGGUGGCCGCCGGCUUCCCCGCCCUCCGCGGCAGCCAGCCAGGCCCUGGACGCGCGGGGAGGGGUGGCUGAGUCAACGAGCGGCCGUGGAGGCUUCGGAUCCUGUGGUUUCCCGGCUUUUCAGCGUCUUUGUCACCACUCUGCCCACUCUUCUCCCUCUGCAUGGAAAGACGUUUCUGGCGUCUCUCAGAAGUUGGCGCGUUGAGGGCAGCUCCCGUCUCGCCCCACUGAGAGCCAGCUGCUCAGAUGCCGGCCCACGUGUCCCCAUAACUACCCUGCAGGGCCGGCUUCGCGUCCCAUGUUAGAGAUGAGGAAACUGAGGCUCAGAGGCAUUUAAGCAACUUGCCCAAGGUCACACAACCAAGUGUCAGGGCUGAGAGCAAAGCCAGGCUUUUCAUCUCAGCCACUGGGCACCGCCAACCCACACACUGCUGUGAAAUUGGCCACACACUCCUAGGCCCUGAGGCCUGAGGGGAAAAGGCCUCACCUGAAUACUGCUGUGCUGUUGUCAGGGGACCGCCUGUGCACAUUAUCCCCCUUCCCAGAGAUACCAGCUGUGGACCCAGCCUUGGGGCCCCAGGAGAAGACAGCCUGUCACCAGAGCCUCUGGUCUGGAGCUGUCCCUGGACCCGAUGCCUUACUCGCGCUGAUCCUGGAGGAAGGAGGAGGCUGACCUUGGAUUCCAGCUGUGAUGAGGCGGCUCUGGCUGUGAAGGGGCCACUUCACCACAGAGCGGGCAAGCCCACAGCGAAAAGUGAGCUCAGAUACACUUCCCUGAGAGGACUCCUAAGGAGACUCCUGCUGAUUUCUAAGAAAAGUCCCAGCUUGGAAGUGUGGAUGCUGUGGAAGGGUAAUGGUCAUUUAUCAUCUGGAGGAGAGAUGUGGGCUUCCUUCCUCACCCUUCUAGAAGAAAAGAAGGCGGGGGGUGAGGAACAAUAUGGGCACCUCAUUUCUGAAGAGACAGCACUGCUCUCCAUCAGAAGAUUGGUCUAGGAUGACCCUAAUGAACAUGGUACCCACUGGAGUUGUGCAUUGCGUGACAUGCACCACGUGGGGGCCAGAGUGGAAAGCAGCACAUGGCAGUGGUUGCACAGGCCGCUGAUCAGGCUGAGGCUUCCCAAAUCCCAACAACAGUCUACCCGGUAAUCAUGGAUGGAGAAGAGCCAGUGAGGGCUCGGGCAGCCAAGCGGUCCCUGCAUCAGGAGAGCUCACAGCUUCCCUUGGUUUCCUCAGAGAUGCUCAUAAUACAUAAUCACAGAGGGGCUAAGUGUAUCCUGGCUUGUAGGCAA